rnacentral:lncRNA from 1 species
UAUCUCCAAAGGCAUCAAUUUCUAGUGCUAAUUACCACUAAUUAUUCACUCAGCAGUUGUAAGUUGCAUUCAGUCCCUGAGGGUGGAAGGGAGAUUUGUCUCUCUCCAGCGUAGUAUGUUUCAUAUAUUUGUUUUAAGAGAUUUUUACAUUCAGACUUCAAAAUAGCGUAGAGAUCUGCAGAACUUUCCUGUCUGAUGCCAGGAAAGGAUUAAGAUUUCCUUGCGCACAGUAAAGAGUCCGUAUGGUUGCUCAGCACCCUGCACCUGGCAGGAAGGGUUUUCUCUCUCACGCUUCUCUGCUGUGUGGAAGAGAUUGGUCCCCACACGUUGUUUCAGUGUCUAAGUGGAUUUAAUUUAGCAGGUUUCUGAUUACUCAGGCUUGAAGGUCUAGUGUCCAACCUGGCUGUUAAACAGUUAUGCAUAACUGACUCGGAGCUUAUUGUUUAUGACCACAGUUACUAGAGAGGCCAUCACAUCCUGGAUCUUCAGUGCUUAGAUUUGGACUCAGACCAGACCCCCCACAUCCCUUGAAACUUACUCCUUCAAGCAUAUGAGCAGCUAAUAGACUUGGAUGCUGGUACUGCUCUGCAGCAGCUAGAGAUGUUUCAACUGUUUUUCCCCAAGACAAAUGGUACCCCAAGGUGGGACAGAAGUGUCCUGAGAAGGUCACAGAUCCAGGCUGAAGGGCCAGGGUGGUCGGUGAAAGCUACUGGCAAAAUGGGCCCUCCUGAGGAGGCGAUCACAGGACGUUGUGAGGGCCCGAGCAGGUAAGGCCGUGAGGUGGUUUCUGUGAGGAACGAACACUGCCACACCUUACAGCUUUGGCCUUUUCUUCCCCCCUAUGGACUGCCCCAAGUGGGGCAGCCCAAACACUGUUUAGAGUGUUACAUCGUGGCCUAAAGUCACAGUUAUUUCAGCAGUGCUGCUUAAAAACCUGCACUCAAUAGCACUGCCUCCUACCAGAGCAGAAACUUGCAUGUCACCCUGGCGGGACAGGUGAAUAGCAUUAGUUCUGGGAGGGCUGCUGGCACGGUCAC